UGGGGAAUAUUGCACAAUGGGCGCAAGCCUGAUGCAGCCAUGCCGCGUGUGUGAAGAAGGCCUUCGGGUUGUAAAGCACUUUCAGCGGGGAGGAAGGCGAUAAGGUUAAUAACCUUGUCGAUUGACGUUACCCGCAGAAGAAGCACCGGCUAACUCCGUGCCAGCAGCCGCGGUAAUACGGAGGGUGCAAGCGUUAAUCGGAAUUACUGGGCGUAAUGCGCACGCAGGCGGUCUGUCAAGUCGGAUGUGAAAUCCCCGGGCUUAACCCGGGAAUUGCAUCUGAUACUGGUCAGCUAGAGUCUUGUAGAGGGGGGUAGAAUUCCAUGUGUAGCGGUGAAAUGCGUAGAGAUGUGGAGGAAUACCGGUGGCGAAGGCGGCCCCCUGGACAAAGACUGACGCUCAGGUGCGAAAGCGUGGGGAGCAAACAGG
rnacentral:rRNA from 1 species